rnacentral:tRNA from 1 species
GCUCAGCUGGUUAAAUGUCAGACUUCUGAUUUCGACUCAGAUAAUGAUCUCAGGAUUGUGGGAUCAAGUCCCACAAUGAGCU